rnacentral:rRNA from 1 species
GACGAACGUUGGCGGCGUGCUUAACACAUGCAAGUCGAACGGAAAGGCCCUGCUUUUGUGGGGUGCUCGAGUGGCGAACGGGUGAGUAACACGUGAGUAACCUGCCCUUGACUUUGGGAUAACUUCAGGAAACUGGGGCUAAUACCGGAUAGGAGCUCCUGCUGCAUGGUGGGGGUUGGAAAGUUUCGGCGGUUGGGGAUGGACUCGCGGCUUAUCAGCUUGUUGGUGGGGUAGUGGCUUACCAAGGCUUUGACGGGUAGCCGGCCUGAGAGGGUGACCGGCCACAUUGGGACUGAGAUACGGCCCAGACUCCUACGGGAGGCAGCAGUGGGGAAUAUUGCACAAUGGGCGGAAGCCUGAUGCAGCAACGCCGCGUGCGGGAUGACGGCCUUCGGGUUGUAAACCGCUUUCGCCUGUGACGAAGCGUGAGUGACGGUAAUGGGUAAAGAAGCACCGGCUAACUACGUGCCAGCAGCCGCGGUGAUACGUAGGGUGCGAGCGUUGUCCGGAUUUAUUGGGCGUAAAGGGCUCGUAGGUGGUUGAUCGCGUCGGAAGUGUAAUCUUGGGGCUUAACCCUGAGCGUGCUUUCGAUACGGGUUGACUUGAGGAAGGUAGGGGAGAAUGGAAUUCCUGGUGGAGCGGUGGAAUGCGCAGAUAUCAGGAGGAACACCAGUGGCGAAGGCGGUUCUCUGGGCCUUUCCUGACGCUGAGGAGCGAAAGCGUGGGGAGCGAACAGGCUUAGAUACCCUGGUAGUCCACGCUGUAAACGGUGGGUACUAGGUGUGGGGUCCAUUCCACGGGUUCCGUGCCGUAGCUAACGCUUUAAGUACCCCGCCUGGGGAGUACGGCCGCAAGGCUAAAACUCAAAGGAAUUGACGGGGCCCCGCACAAGCGGCGGAGCAUGCGGAUUAAUUCGAUGCAACGCGUAGAACCUUACCUGGGUUUGACAUGGAUCGGGAGUGCUCAGAGAUGGGUGUGCCUCUUUUGGGGUCGGUUCACAGGUGGUGCAUGCCUGUCGUCAGCUCGUGUCGUGAGAUGUUGGGUUAAGUCCCGCAACGAGCGCAACCCUUGUUCACUGUUGCCAGCACGUUAUGGUGGGGACUCAGUGGAGACCGCCGGGGUCAACUCGGAGGAAGGUGGGGAUGACGUCAAGUCAUCAUGCCCCUUAUGUCCAGGGCUUCACGCAUGCUACAAUGGCUGGUACAGAGAGUGGCGAGCCUGUGAGGGUGAGCGAAUCUCGGAAAGCCGGUCUCAGUUCGGAUUGGGGUCUGCAACUCGACCUCAUGAAGUCGGAGUCGCUAGUAAUCGCAGAUCAGCAACGCUGCGGUGAAUACGUUCCCGGGGC